CUGAACUCAGGCGUGAUUACCCGCUGAACUUAAGCAUAUCACUAGCGAG
rnacentral:rRNA from 1 species